UUUCCGCAGGUGAACCUGCGGAAGGAUCAUUAUUGUAUAACCGAGGUGCGAGGGCUGUCGCUGACCCGAAAGGUCGUGCACGCCCGAGUGCCCUCACACACAUCCAUCUCACCCCUAUGUGCACCACCGCGUGGGUCCCCCUUUGGCUUGUUCGGAGGGGGGCUUACGUUUUCACACAAACUUUGUAUGCAGUGUAGAAUGUAUUUUUUGUUUUUGCGAUCACGCAAUCAAUACAACUUUCAACAACGGAUCUCUUGGCUCUCCCAUCGAUGAAGAACGCAGC
rnacentral:misc_RNA from 1 species